UACGUAGGGGGCAAGCGUUGUCCGGAAUCAUUGGGCGUAAAGAGCGCGUAGGCGGUCCGGUAAGUCCGCUGUGAAAGUCGGGGGCUCAACCCUCGAAUGCCGGUGGAUACUGCCGGGCUAGAGUCCGGAAGAGGCGAGUGGAAUUCCUGGUGUAGCGGUGAAAUGCGCAGAUAUCAGGAGGAACACCGAUGGCGAAGGCAGCUCGCUGGGACGGUACUGACGCUGAGGCGCGAAAGCGUGGGGAGCAAACAGG
rnacentral:rRNA from 1 species